rnacentral:lncRNA from 1 species
GACUGAGCAAGCCAGAGUCUCCAGUGAUUGGAAGGAGCCGUGAGAGUAAGGAACAAUCACUGUUUCGAGCAGGGGAAGAACGGAGGCAGAGGGACAAUCAGACCCCACGUCGAGUGCGGAGCCCGAUGCAGGGGUGAAUUUCAU